CUAUAUAUUGACUUUGAUUGCAAUGAACUCAUUAAAGAAAAUCAUGUUAAAAACUGUAAAUUUCGUGAAUAAAAGUUAAACUUCAUCUUUACUUAUAUUACAGAAUAUAUUUUCGUUCAAGUUGUAUUCAGUGUCAGCUGACUUUACGAGGGAAACUCAGCACAGACAUGCCCGCCGGUAGAAGCAGGCAAAGAAAACUCGGACAUAUCACAUGGGGAGUGUGUAGCUAGUUAGGUACUUCUUAGGUCUACUCAUAAGAUCCCUUAUUCUGUGAAUCUACCACUGGCCGUAUGUCUAUUUCCAGGAAGACCUGCCAACGGUGGGGGGGGGGAGAUGUCCCAACACCCAGGAUUCGCACCUGACCACGUCCUCAGUCCAGCACAGUCUUUGACCCCAGCCUACCCAUAAGCCUAACAAAGGCGCUUACUGGUGCGCCCUGAACUUGGACAAAGCCGACGCCAUCCUCUCCAAAUUACUCUCCAUAAGGCACCCAGAUUGCCCCUGCUGAGUCCGUGCUCACUGUCUCCUUGCAUGGUCUUGGCUUCUUGGAGGAGCUUUGGCGGGAGGCGGAGGAACUUGGCGUGUGUCGGGGGGCCCUUGGUCUCAAUAUGGUGGAAGAUACCUUGCUUGGGCGCUGCCCCAGCCACCUGGUGAAGCUCAGGGCGGAAGACGUCCGGAAACUCCUGGAGAAGGGAGGCAUAUAUGUGAUGGGGAAGGAUGGAACAGAUGGUGGGCGCCCUUGGUCCUCUGGUGAGUGGGCGGGAGAGGCAGGUCUCGGUAUCAAGAAGGCGCUGCCGGGCCACGUCCACCAUGAGGCCGCGGUGGUCAAGGAAAUCCGCCCCCAGGAGAGGGAUCUGUACGUUGGCAAGGAUGAAGAGCCAGGUGUAGGUCUGGCCCAGGAACGCGAUGGUCUGUGCCCUUGUCCCAUAUGUGUGGAUGGGUGUCCCGUUUGCAGCUAAGAGGGCAGUCAGGUCGUCGGGGAUGCGGCUGUGAUCCUCUGCAGACGAAGGAAACACCCACUGCAUGGCACCAAUGUCAACCAGCAUCCUGAGGCUGGAGAUGCUGUCCUGGACGUAGAAGCCCCUGGGUUGGGACUUCGUUACUGCCACUGCCAUGGGGGCUUGUUUUGGGCGCUGCCUAGGUCAUUUUUGAAGGGCGGAAGGAGCAAGGGCGCUCGCACUUCUGUGCCUUGCUGCCGAAUUGGCGGUGGAAGCGGCACCACCCGACGUCUGGGAGGGGCUUCAGCGAUCGCUGUGUGGCGGGAUAACAAGCUUAAAAAACAAGUGGCAAAUUCCCCCCCCCCCCCCCCCCCCAACAUAAACCUAAUCAAUCCAGCUGCCAAACUCACCCUCUGCCACACUUUCCUCUUUACACAACAAAAUACAUGCAGGGCAAUUGACCUACAGCUACACAAAACAAAAAAAACACAACACACAUGUUCUUACCAACCACCCCAGAUACUCCGGGCUAUCGUGUGCUGUCCGCUGGUCGAGGUCACAGAGAUACCAACAACAACCACCAAGAACCACAACACAACAACAAAACAACACCCAAGGACUACAACCCAACAACACAACAACCAAGGACCACAACAGCAACAACCAAGGAACACAACCACACCCUAACAACACAGCAAACAACCAAGGAACACAACCACAACCUCACAUAUAUCAACAAAAACUCAACAACACAAUAAAACACAAAAGAAAGACUACUGCACAACCAACCACCAACACAAAAAAAAUGACGACACAAAAAUGGCAACACACACACCCACUAACAACACCAAGAAAUCACAACAACAACAAAGACAACAGCACAGGCACAACAACCCUAAGCAAACAACACCAACUUAACAAUAACUAAAAACAAAUCAACAAAACACAACUCAAAGGAAUUUCAGUGCCUUCACUGAAAUGCUGCCUGGAUGAGCUUCCUAUUCAGGCCUUCAUAGGGCAGCUCCCCACGCUGGCUGCGUAUCCAUGGCGAGGCAUUUGGAGGCAUCCACUGUGAGGGCCAUGGCGAUGAGGCCUACCUUGGUGCUGACCCGGGUGAUGCCGUGGAUCUGGAACUGUAUUUCUGCCCGUUGCAGCCAUGUUGCGACGUCCUCACUGCAGAAGGGCAGUAGCUUGACGUGGUGGGGCUCUGAUGGUACAAUUGUCUGGGGCGCGGCCACGGUCUGUGAGGAGGACUCGAAUGCGAAGAAGGAUAGUCUUGCAGAUCACGAGGUCAAGGCAGACACAGAGGAAUCGAGUGAAUGUGCUGAACUCUCCAUCAUAUUGUCAGACACACACUUACGGUCGAUGAGAAGUUGUAAAUGGCGGACCAAACCGUAAGACUGAACGCCAAAACACUUCUGUGAAGAAAUGCUGUAGUGAGUCCACUAAUGGCGUCGAAGAGUACCAGAGAACCUAGACUAGGCAUCAUAUGGGUCUGUUAAAGGUUCUCUGAAGGUGAGUGGCAUUAAUUAGUCCCUUAAUGGCAUAGCCAAAACUGCUUGGGUCACCUACUCCUGGGUCACCAAUUGUAAGGUCUGAGCAAUCCGAGGAGAGCGAGUGAACUAACUUAAUUCGGCAAAUGAGGCUGUACAGAAGCGUAGUGUUCGUCACACACACACGAACAAGCAUAAACAAAAGGGACAGAGCCCCCGCUGUGAAUGUGUUUCUUCACAGACGAAAAUACAUGAAUAAUUUUACAUAGAAGGAACGGAUUCCCAACAUAUGUACAUCAAGAGAAAGAGCGUAAAAUGCUCUACAUUUUAGUUCCUGGAAGAAAAGUGAGGACAUAUGGAUAUAGAGACACAAUGCAAGGGCGAACAUUCGCCCAAAUGUCAUCUUUACAGCCCUAACUAUAAUUUUUUUUGUAACAUUUAAGCUGCAAUACUAUAUGAAAUACAAGACAAUAAAUUAUGAAUGCACUGCGAUGUCACGUAAAGAAUGAAUAAAUACAUUUUAUUUUAAAAUUU